rnacentral:misc_RNA from 1 species
UUGUCUUUUAUACUGUAAUUAAAGAGUGGGGGAAACCUCCUAAACAUGGAUUUGGCGUCUUUACAAAGGAAACCCAUUUUCUCAAAGUAUUCAAUUCUCGGUAAUAGUUUGUCUUCCANNNNNNNNNNNAGCAAAGAAGUGUGUUUGUUUACCUCUUCUAUGCCAAUGCUUUGGAGGAAGUACAGGGUGGGACGCAGCCGCUGCUUGACGCUGGAAACGAGCAAUCUGGGCCGUCGAUUGAUGACGCGCUUAAUAUCGAAGCCGUUGACACGGGCUUCCCGGAGGAGGAAGGUGAAGACGGGAAGGAUGGUGGAGGCAUUGGAGGCGAGGAUUUCUGGGCACAUGGAAACAAUCCGGCGGAACUCCAGGGAGUUGAAAUUCAUGGAGAGAAAUAAAUCGACCAUGGAUUUUAUAUCGGCGAGGGAGGCAGAGAGAAUGAUCGGACGAUGGUGGUCGACGAGGGAAAAUAUGUCGAUACCUAUGGAAUCAAGGUAAAGCAUUUUCUCUUGAAAAUCUGCAUUGGGUGGUGCAGGCGGAGGAGGGUUAUUAAUAGGUGCAGAUAAGGAGGGGAUUUCAGUUAUUUUGGGGGGCUUGGGAGGGAUAGAAACGGUGUUUGUUUUGGAGGAAAGGGAGGGAAAAUGAAGAGUUCUUGAGCAAGAAAGUGAGGGAAAAUGAUGGUGAGAAGAGGAAAAAUUGUGGAGAUUGAAAGGGUAAGGAAAUGAGGAUUUGUGGUUCGAGAAGAAAUGGAUUUUCUCUUGCAUUGUUGCAGUGAGAGCUACAUGGUGGGGCUUGAGAGAGGGAAGAAGAAAGUAAAUUGUGAUUCCUG